GAACAUUUUCGAACUGUUACCCGUUUAUUUUGAUGGAAAGGGAAUUUAAAUCACCUAACUCACGUAAAAUGAUUUUAUUUCUAGUUCUUCGCUUGUGAAAUUUCAGAGGAAAAUAGAGGCUACGAUUUUGCAUUUCUGCCUGACGAUUACAAGAAACGGUUAUUCCACGACUAAUUAAUACGAAGAAGGACCAGGUAUGGAUAAACUCAAAGACCACCUGAAAUGCGGGCCGCGGGCCACCAUUGGAAGCAUUCAUCCUGAGACGAACCAUAUUGCCAUUCAGGAGGCGGACAUGAUGGAUUAUUCGUAUGCGGAGCAAUAAUUUUCAUUA